UACGAAGGGGGCUAGCGUUGCUCGGAAUCACUGGGCGUAAAGGGUGCGUAGGCGGGUUGGUAAGUCAGUGGUGAAAUCCCCGAGCUUAACCUGGGAACUGCCAUUGAUACUAUCAGUCUUGAGUACCGUGGAGGUCGACGGAAUAUGUCAUGUAGCGGUGAAAUGCUUAGAUAUGACAUAGAACACCAAUUGCGAAGGCAGUUGGCUACACGAGUAUUGACGCUGAGGCACGAAAGCGUGGGGAUCAAACAGG
rnacentral:rRNA from 1 species